UCAUGAUAUGUUGAAAUACUUAACACCGUGAAUGCAUACUAAACAAUUCCUAAAGGUUGUGCUCGUAUCAUAUGUACUUAGAAACAAUGCGCUGCUAAAAACCAAGGGCAUGAUGUACCAACUACUUGUAUAUGAUGCACAAGAAGAGAGCAAAAAAUAAUAGUAUAUGCAGAAGUGAUAACAGGAGAAAAAUGAACGUGAAAAUGACUAGGAAACAAAAAAAAUUGAUAACAUCAAGCUGUGAUGACAACUGCACCAAGAACAAAAUA